AUCUGCGUUUUUACACAGACACCCUUUAAAUGCAUGUGUAGAACGNCUUACUUUUUGCGAUCGCACGCAAUCAAUACAACUUUCAACAACGNAUCUCUUGUCUCUCGCAUCGAUGAAGAACGCAGCGAAAUGCGAUACGUAAUGUGAAUUGCAGAAUUCAGUGAAUCAUCGAAUCUUUGAACGCACCUUGCGCCCCUUGCUAUUCCGAGGGGCACACCCGUUUGAGUGUCGUGAAUACUCUCAACCUUCUUGGUUUCUUUGAACCAGGAAGGCUUGGACUUUGGAGGUGUAUUGUUGCUGGCCUCUUUUGAAGCCAGCUCCUCCUANAUGAAUGGGUGGGNCCGCUUUGCUGAUCCUCGACGUGAUAAGCAUUUGUUUCUACGNCUUGGGUUU
rnacentral:rRNA from 1 species